rnacentral:rRNA from 1 species
GACGAACGCUGGCGGCGUGCUUAACACAUGCAAGUCGAGCGGUAAGGCCCUUUCGGGGGUACACGAGCGGCGAACGGGUGAGUAACACGUGGGUGACCUGCCCUCAGCUCUGGGAUAAGCCUGGGAAACCGGGUCUAAUACUGGAUAUGACUCCAUGACGCAUGUUGUGGGGUGGAAAGCCUUGUGCGGCUGAGGAUGGGCCCGCGGCCUAUCAGCUUGUUGGUGGGGUGAGGCCUACCAAGGCGACGACGGGUAGCCGGCCUGAGAGGGCGACCGGCCACACUGGGACUGAGACACGGCCCAGACUCCUACGGGAGGCAGCAGUGGGGAAUCUUGCGCAAUGGCCGAAAGGCUGACGCAGCGACGCCGCGUGGAGGAUGACG